GAUCAUUAGAAAAGUUAUAUGAAAAGGUUUUAAAAAAUUUCCAUCUUUUAACUUUUUGGGAAUUUUUUUUACCUUUUUCUUCUCUUAUCCAUUUACCUUUCUGUGAAAAUGUAAAAUAUUUUCAAUUUUGAUUUUUUUUCUUUUUCUUUAUAUUUUUUUAUUAAAAAAAAGUGGUUAGAAAAGAAAAAAGAAGAAAAAAAAAAUGAAAUUGUAAAUAUUACGAGUGGAUGAUUUUUGUUUGGGGGGUUUUUGUUGCAUGCCAAGCAUAUCAUUACUUUUUUACUAUUUUAUUUUAUUUUAUCAUUUUUCUAUUCUUUCYCUUUUUUUUUAAAUAUAAGGAAAUUGGAAAARAAGCAAAAUUAAAUUAUAAMCCUUGAAAUUUGUUUUUGAAGUCUGAAUUAAUUAUAUCUAAUAUAUAAAAUUWUUUAAAACUUUCAGCAACGGAUCUYUKGGCUCUCGCAUCGAUGAARAACGCASCGAAAUGCGAUACGUAAKGKGAAUUGCARAAUUCCGKGAAUCAUCGAAUYUUUGAACSCMCAUUGCSCCUUKGGGUUYUMCCAAAGGCAYSCCUGUUUGAGKGUCAUUACAAUYUUYUCMCAAAAAAUKUUUUUUUUAAAUAUUUUUGAUGAGGUGUUGAACGAAAAUUUGUUUUUUUUUUAAAAUAUAAAUUUAGUUUGAAAUCGAUUGGUGAAAACAAAAGGAAGAUUGAAAUUAUUUUUCUAUGCCUUUUUUCAUUUUUUUUUCUAUUGAACGUAAUAGGUUUUACCACUUUGUUUGAUAGAAAAAAAGAAAUUAGGAAAGAAAAAUAACUAAAAAGUUUUAAUCUCUUUUAUAUUUGAACCUUAACGAAAAAAAAAGUUAUUUUUUUUCACAGU
rnacentral:misc_RNA from 1 species